GGCAGUGGUAGCUCAGUGGUUAAGGUGUUGGACUACUGCUCAGACAGUCGUGAGUGCAAACCCCACCACUGGCA